CAAAUAUAUUUGUCAUUUACAACCUUCUGAUUAGGGUUUGGUGAGAGAAUGGUGAUCAGUGCAGAUCAGACGUCUGAAGGCCUGGUAGAAGAGGUAGAAACUCUCUGUUCUGCUAGAGUUCAAAAAAUCGAAUCCAUGAUUUACCAGAUUGAGGAGGUGUCAGAGAACCAAAGAGCUGAUGCUGCAAAUAGUCUGGUUUAUGAAGCAAACCUGAGGUGUACGGAUGCAUGGGUGUAAUUUCAGACUUGCAGCAAAAAGUUCAAUCAUUACAAACAGAACUUCAAGCUGUCAGGACAGAAAUUAUUGCAAGGUACAAGUAUAAAGAAUUAGCAGCAAGUCAGAUCCUUUCUCGUAGAGAUCAUAUUCAUCCCCAUCAUGUUACUGCUUCCCCAACAUCAUGUGAAGCUUGACCUUCUUCCACGCUGCUCGUAUUUGUGCACGGUUGUUCUCGUUAAAAUUCCGCUUCAAAGUGAAACCUGUC